rnacentral:rRNA from 1 species
AGCGAACGCUGGCGGCAGGCUUAACACAUGCAAGUCGAGCGGGCCCUUCGGGGUCAGCGGCAGACGGGUGAGUAACACGUGGGAACGUACCCUUUGGUUCGGAAUAACGCUGGGAAACUAGCGCUAAUACCGGAUACGCCCUUUUGGGGAAAGGCUUGCUGCCGAAGGAUCGGCCCGCGUCUGAUUAGCUAGUUGGGGGGGUAAUGGCCUACCAAGGCGACGAUCAGUAGCUGGUCUGAGAGGAUGAUCAGCCACACUGGGACUGAGACACGGCCCAGACUCCUACGGGAGGCAGCAGUGGGGAAUAUUGGACAAUGGGCGCAAGCCUGAUCCAGCCAUGCCGCGUGAGUGAUGAAGGCCUUAGGGUUGUAAAGCUCUUUUGUCCGGGACGAUAAUGACGGUACCGGAAGAAUAAGCCCCGGCUAACUUCGUG